rnacentral:rRNA from 1 species
GUCUAUGGCCAUGCUACCCUGAAGAAGCCUGAUCCCGUCUGAUCUCCGGAGCUAAGCAGGGUCGGGCCUGGUUAGCACUUGGAUGGGAGACCGCCUAGGAAGACUAAGUGCUAUAGGUG